rnacentral:rRNA from 1 species
AUUGAACGCUGGCGGCAUGCCUUACACAUGCAAGUCGAACGGCAGCACGGGAGCAAUCCUGGUGGCGAGUGGCGAACGGGUGAGUAAUGUAUCGGAACGUACCUUUCAGUGGGGGAUAACGUAGCGAAAGUUACGCUAAUACCGCAUAUUCUGUGAGCAGGAAAGCAGGGGAUCGCAAGACCUUGCGCUGAUUGAGCGGCCGAUAUCAGAUUAGCUAGUUGGUGAGGUAAAGGCUCACCAAGGCGACGAUCUGUAGCGGGUCUGAGAGGAUGAUCCGCCACACUGGAACUGAGACACGGUCCAGACUCCUACGGGAGGCAGCAGUGGGGAAUUUUGGACAAUGGGCGCAAGCCUGAUCCAGCCAUCGCCGCGUGAGUGAAG